UACGUAGGGGGCAAGCGUUGUCCGGAUUUAUUGGGCGUAAAGAGCUCGUAGGUGGUUCGGUAAGUCGGAUGUGAAAUCUCCAGGCUCAACCUGGAGGGGUCAUUCGAUACUGCCGUGACUAGAGUUCGGUAGGGGAGUGUGGAAUUCCUGGUGGAGCGGUGAAAUGCGCAGAUAUCAGGAGGAACACCAGUGGCGAAGGCGACUACCUGGCCUGUUCUUGACACUGAGGCGCGAAAGCUAGGGGAGCAAACGGG
rnacentral:rRNA from 1 species